CACAGGUGUCAGGUGCAUGCUAGAUAUCUAAUUAGCACAGGUGUCAGGUGCAUGCUAGAUAUCUAAUUAGCACAGGUGUCAGGUGCAUGCUAGAUAUCUAAUUAGCACAGGUGUCAGGUGCAUGCUAGAUAUCUAAUUAGCACAGGUGUCAGGUGCAUGCUAGAUAUCUAAUUAGCACAGGUGUCAGGUGCAUGCUAGAUAUCUAAUUAGCACAGGUGUCAGGUGCAUGCUAGAUAUCUAAUUAACACAGGUGUCAGGUGCACGCUAGAUAUCUAAUUCGCACAGGUGUCAGGUGCAUGCUAGAUAUCUAAUUAACACAGGUGGUGUCUCGGUGGUCCGUCGACACUAACAUGGAUUCAUUUAACUUCUUCGAUAUAGGGGGCACUCUUAAUUUUUGGAUAAAAAAAGUUCCCGUUUUAAACAAUAUUUUGUCACGAAAAGAUGCUCGACUAUACUUAUAAUUGACAGCUUUGGAAAGAAAACACUCUGACGUUUCCAAAACUGCAAAGAUAUUAUCUGUGAGUGCCCCAGAACUAAUGCUACAGGCGAAACCAAGAUGAAGUUUCAGACUGGAAAUGCCCCAGAUUUUGAAUGCGCUGUGUUCUAAUGUCUCCUUAUAUGGCUGUGAAUGCGCAAGGACUGAGCCUACACUUUCUGUCGUUUCCCCAAGGUGUCUGCAGCAUUGUGACGUAUUUGUAGGCAUAUCAUUGGAAGAUUGACCAUAAGAGACUACAAUUACUAGGUGCCCGCUCGGUGUCCUCCGUCAAAAUAAUUGAGUAAUCUCCAGCUGCGUGCAUUUUUCCUUUUGCUUCUGAGGAGAAACCAAACUGCCACAAAUGAUUUAUCAUCGAAUAUAUAUGUGAAAAACACCUUGAGGAUUGAUUCUAAACAACGUUUGCCAUGUUUCUGUCGAUAUUAUGGAGUUAAUUUGGAAAAAAAGUUUGGCGUUGUAAUGACUGAAUUUGUUUUGUUUUUCACAGCCAAAUGUGAUG